CCUGUCAUUAUCUAAGUUUUAAAUAGGGCGUUAUCCCGAAAACGUGCCUGGGUUGAAAAUCCCCCAUGGGGCCCUGUUUCCACCGCCACAAAUUAUGGACGGAGACAGCUCAAGGAUUGCUACCAAGAUAACGACAAAAUUAUUGACUGACAGUUCUCACGCCGCUCGCCGGACGAGGAGGCGAAGAGCAGGCUGCGAGGGGCGGAGGAGAAUCACAAGAACAAGCUCCACACUCCAAAUACUUCUUCACACUUUGUCAUCAUCAGCCGGCUUAGUGGCAUUGGCAAAAGUGACUUAAAAAGGUGGAAUUGAAACAAGAAGGGCUGGUGGCUUCUUAGGACGAAGCUGGGAUACUCUCGAAGAAGCAUGUGCCACUCCAAGGACCGUCUUCUCAUGCUCUGAAAAAGGCCAGAAAACCGACCUAAGGCUGUUAUUUUUGCCUCAAGUUAUGAUAGCCCUCUUCAUAGGGAACAAGAAACACGUUCGUCCGGCGGUCAGAUGAAACAAAAACAAAAAUCAAGGUGUGCGACUGAAGACAGGAGAGGGGAGGGGAGAAGAUCGGAGGAGGAGCAGGCGAGGAGAACGGAGCCGGCAGACUCUCCUCUCGGAGUUUGGCAGACAGCGCGGCGGCGCGCAAGCCGGAGGAGGAGAACGGCCGCAGCUUCUUCUUUGUCUGACUUUUGGUACCUUUGAUACCUGGAAUAUUCAAGUGUUUUCUUGGGAUUUACGAAGUGAUCAUUGCACACAUGCAUGUAUGCCUAUAAGAAAGUCUUGGCGGAAAGUUUGGCAGGCUCUGGGAUGGGGGAUGGAAAGUUGAGCUUGAGAGCGUUAGGACUUCCUUUCUUCAGCACCUACCUAUCCUAUCCUAUAAUGGUUGCUGAACUUAAGAUCCCCUCUUAUCAUCGCAGAUCUUUUGUUGCCAUCAUCAUUAUCCCGGAUGAUCUUAUGAUAAAUCCAAAUAUUUCCAUCUUUUGAUUGAUUUUUGGGCUGAAAACUUACCAACUGAUCGUCCGCCUUCCCAGUCGCGUUGCAAACCGCCAGCCAGGACGGGUGAACGAAGAAGACUCUAGACGGUCUAUAAGGGGCGGGGUUAAAACUCAAGUGGAGUGGACUGGCAGACAGUAUGACGCCAAAAUGCAAGACAAGACAACCUGGUCGAUAACAAAGGUAAACAGGCAACGGCCAACGGCCAGCCAAGGAGCAGGGCCACUGAAAAAGCCUCGGUCGUGGGAUCCGAUCGGGAUUGUCGGCUCAGCCCAACUGGGUUCAGAACCAGAUGCAGAUACAGAUAUAGAUACACGUACGCGCAGAUACGGAUUCAGAUACGAGCACACCCGCCCCUGCCGCUGAGUGCCCAACUAAUCAUUGUGUGAUUCCUGUUUGUUUAUUUGCCCGGCUUUAUGAAGAGACUUUUCGGUAGAAAUUAUUUAUUGUCGCCUGUGUUUAUGUAUCUGCGUAGCCGAGUAUCUGAGUAUCUCAGUGCAACUGUGUAUCUGUGUGCGCAGCCCUUCUUCAAGUGGGACACAAUCAAACAGUUAGCUUGAAAUCGAGGCGAUUACGGGUUCCCCUAGAUCAGCGAAUUUUAAAUAUUCGAAUUUAAUUUAUCUUCUUGUGGUUUCAUGGGCUUUCAUAUCCUGUGAACAAAAGGAUAUCCUAAAGUUUAAUUUAAUCUAUCUGCUUUUGAUUAUUAUGGAUUAAUUAUGGAUUCAAAAGCUUUUUCCUUUUGUCGAAUCUGCGGCUGUAGCUCUCUGUCAUAAAGAUGUCAUUCGCUGUACAACUUCCUAAAAUUUAAGGGCCGUAAAGAACUUGACUUAGUGCAAUAAUUCGCUUCGCACAUUAUAUAUUCCUGUUAUCUAUGAAAAAUUGUCAAUAUUCUCAAGGCAAAGCAAAUAAAACCGCACUA